rnacentral:lncRNA from 1 species
CUUGUUUUUGUCAUUUGAGGAAUACGUAACAUUGGUUCUGGAAGGAUACAAUUAUUUUUUUUUUAUUUUUUGUUGUGUCAUUCAGUAAGUAUCAUAUUAUAUCUUUAUAUUAUACAUAUAUGUAGAUAAUAAUCAGAGGGUUUCUAUAAUGUAGGUUAUCAUUUCUAUAAUUAUAUGACAUGUAAUUUAAAACAAUUAUAGUAAUGAGAUUUUACUCAUUUAUAAGCUGUUUACAUGACAGUCUUCGGAGGGUGCUAGCGAUAGACUUGGUGCUGCUGCUUGAUUGGUAUACAAUAAUCUUUGCAUGUAAAACGACUCUUUUUAUACAUUCGUAUGUAUAGGUACAAUGACUCAGCAUGUUUUUGUUUCGAACUCGAAGGCGCAGAAGUUUAAAAUGUUCUCAUAAUGUAGGAUGUCUAAAAUAGCCAAGCACUGAUGUGCGAAUGUGCCAAUUCUGAAAUUACGGAACAUUGCAGGAGGUCAAAGAUCACGUGAAAAAAUAAAAUGGUAUAAACAAAGCCAUAGUUACAAAGAUAAGGGAUCAAUAUAUUAAGGCUUUGAGUAAAAACACCAGAAACCUAAACUGGCCUAGUUUCAUCCACUGUUAGAUAUAAACAGAUGAAAUAUAAAAGCGUGUCCUUGACGUACAUUUUCUAUAUGUAGAACAGGAAUCAUUUGGGGUCAAGGUACGUCGAUUAAUCAAUCUUUGUUUUAUUGGUAUACAAUCUGGUAUAGAUCAUAAUGGUAUAGAAUAUUGACCAAGACAUUCAAAACCGAAAGUAUACACGCACACUGUACAAUUUUACAAAUAAGGAGAUUCCCGUAUACGCAAGAAAAACAUCAAUACGAAAAUGCGAAAAAAUUUGAAACACAGAAAGUUAGAAGCUUUGGGCGGUUUCUGCUCUUUCGUCGGGUUGUUGUCUCUGUCUUUGACAGAUUCACCGUUUCCAUUCUCUAUUCUUUACUAAAAUAUGUAUUGCAACCCGGCUUAGACGAAUAAACAAAACAAGAUAUGAUGAAAAACCAACAACAAAUGCGAUCAUUUACCCUUCAGAAGGGUACUUUUUUUAAUACAUUCUCAUGAUUUGACACACAUAAUAUGCAUGAAAAAUAAAAGCUAGUCAUUUGUUUUUCUACACAAGUCAAAGUUUUAUAGUGCUUGUUACUUGUUUCUUCAACUAAUAUUGAACAAGGACUUUCAAUGGACGGUACUGAGAAUGAUCUCAUGAAUCACGUUAUUUUUAUAACAUAUGUCAAAGGUUGUAAGCCGAGAUUAAUAUAUAAAAAUAAGGAGAUGUGGUAAGAUGCCAAUAAGACAACUCCUUCACAACAGACCAAAUGACAUAGAAGUUAGCAACCGACUAUAUGCAUAGGCGGAUCCAGGGGGGGGCUGGGGGGCCCGGCCCCCCCCCCCUUUCGUGGGAAAAAUUUGGUUGAUUAUAUAGGGAAUCACUGAAGCAUGACUGGAGUGGCCCCCCUUAGGUCAGUCAGCGGGCCCCCCCUUAUGAAAAGUUCUGGAUCCGCCACUGAUAUGUACAUAUGUAUCACCGCGUGGCCUUCAACAAUGAACAAACCCCAUACCGCAUUGUAAUCUAAAAAAAAAGGCGUCGAAAAGAUAAAUGUAAAACAUUUCAAACGAGAAAACUAAUGGUCUGAAUUUUGUAAAAAGCAAUAAACCAAAAAAUAUAUUAUAAACAGCAAUUAACGACAACCAAUGAAUUGCAGACUCCUGACAGGCGGGAUAAACAUGUUUGUUGAUGUUAAUAUAUUCAACUAUUCAUCUAGAUAUCGGUCGUACUUUUUUUUAUUUACAAAAUUUAAGUUUGAGUUCAUCGAUUUAUUUACUUUGUCAAUUUUUAUAGAUAGUUUCGUUUAUUGUUUUCAUCGUUACCACAAUAUGGGAACAGUAUAUCUAAAAUAUAUAUGUUCCUGCCACCAUCGAUGAUAUUAUGUGUCAUUUUUUGUAAAUAGAUAAAGAGUGAGCCGCUACGACGUCCAUGCAUUCAGUUUUUCACCACCAGAAGGAGGGUGUUAAUCUUAUCCUAACAUUGUGGGCCAAGUGGAACGUCGGUCAGAGUGAUAUCAAAUUGGGCAAUUACAACCAUGGAUGAUAUACACACAGGUAAUAGCUAUUGGCACUGCGAGAAAAGAUCAUAGUAGAGCUUACAACCAUGAGCAUAACCAAUACCAUAUAGUAAUCUGUUUAAGGUCCCGAUAUGACAAAUAUAACUAAAUUCAAACGAGAAAAACAAACGGCCUAAUCUAUGUACUAAACAAAAACAAAAGAAACUAGUAGUGACAAUUGUUUCAACAAAUGCAUAAAAACGCGGUGGAGUAAACACAGUCAAACAUAUCAUAUUACUAUCAACACCGAUCUGUGUCCACACUUGUAUAUUAUAAAGAUGUAUAUUUCUAAGAUAUAUUCAUGGUUAGCGUCUUUAUUAUUAAAGUGGUUACGAAUUGGAAUAGCAGUGGUUUUAUCAUAAAAAGCACCUGGACAUCGAAUGAAGAACCGGGAUUCGCAUGCAUCAUAAUAUAUACUUUAUUUCAUAGUCAGUCAACUUCAGUGACGUGAGAUACUCGCAGAUAACAUUUAAAACAUACUUUUAAUAAAGGUGAAGGCUUCUCUCACUUGAGCCAUACCUCUCGCUUAAAAGGCACCGACUACAUGCCCUCCAUUUCUGAUCUUUAGACUGGGGUCAAACAGGGGUCAGCUUAAGGACUAAGCUAUAUUUCAGCUAUAUAUUGAUAAUGGGUUUGAUCUAUUCUCUGUUAUGUUUAUAAAGUUACGCUUUGACGCUCAAAAGUUCACCUGUAUACGGUGUGAUUAUUUACGCAAAAAAGGUAAAAGUUCGGUUUGACAUAUAAUGAACAUUUAUAAGUAACUUGAAUCAUGUCGAUCAACGGUUAAUGGGAUAUUUUCGAUGAGGAGAGAACGAAAUGGGCAGUAAGUCUUUUGUAAUAUUAUUUCGUAUAAAUAUGUUUAUGACAAAGCUUGUUAGCUUCCUCUUAUGUGUUAAAAUUUAUGUUAAAUAAAUUGUCACAUUUGUACUUUUGUCUUCCGCUAAUUUAAACAGUACAUAAUUGAAAUACGCUAGCAGCUUUACACUUGCUAUCUUUAUUUAUGUGACCUUGCAUAAUUCUGUAAUUUGUGCGCAUGGGUGAGUUUAGCUAAUGUUUUAAUCUGCGGAUGUUGUAAUAAUUAGUAUUUUGGUCACGGAAACUUAAAAUAUUAAAUGCAAGAAAUAAUAGUAUCUUUUUUUAAAACGAGUUUAUUGUGGUCAAGGUUGAAUGUUGUAUGUAAGCAAAGUUUUCAAUUUGGAACAUUUACUACACUUAUAUAUUUAUUUCGCUUCUUUUAAAAAGAAACUUACAUCUGUGAAAUAUUCUAUUACAUGCAUUUUUUAUUUCAUUUAUUACAAAACUCUAAAUUUAUAUGCAUUUAAACUUUAAUAAAGAUAUAACAGGAAUUUGCGCACCUUUGAAAUAAAACAAAAUAAAUGAACUUUAUUAUCAAGGAUUAUUUUAGUUAUACAAUUUGAAUCUUCCUAUCAAAUUAUUGGUUUUACAUAAUUCUCUUGUCCUGUCUAUUUCAAGAAGAUGAGGGGUAAAUAUGCAUGUGAAGUUAAUUAAUAGGAGCAUUCAGACAGUCUGUAAUUCCUACAUACAAUACCCGCAUAGUACGUUUGAAUUAACGAUACAUGCUAUAAAUAUGUAAAUUCAGUCAGGUAGGUGAUGUCAAUAGGUAAUGGACGAAUAGUCUUAUGAUAAUUAUCCGACAAAUAUGUUUACAUCAUUUAUUGUUUUAAUAAAAAUAUGUUAAUUUUCUUCAGUUUUUGUAAAAAUCAUAAAAAAACAAUUACCUAUACAUGUAAAAAUCUACAAUUUAUUUUUUAAUCGUUUCCUUAUAAAAAAAAAAUAACCACUAAGUGUCAGUCUGCCAAUUGUCAAAUUGCCACAACAAUGUUUCUGAAAGAAAAUUGAUAAAAAAAAAUAAAUUGAGAACACUAAAAGUACACAUUGAUAGGUUAAGGGAAACACUCUUAAGGAAUAGUCAGAAUAUCAAAACAUUUCGUCUGUAUGUUUUCAUCAUUCCUUAAAGUUCAUAAGACUAUUUUACUAAGUAUAGCUGUUUAAGUAUAUUCCAGCUAGUUCUUUUAGUAUGCCACUUUUAUAUGCAACCCUGUAUAUAUAUCGAAAAACAAAAGUGCUAUUUGACUGACUGUCUGUACCCUGAGACUACUACAUAGUAGUCCCAGCUGUACCUAAAUCAAUACAAACCAUCCUUUUUUCAUGUAGGACAUGUUGAUAAAGGAGUAAGCAGUAUAUAUGUUAGCGGCAAUAAGCGAAAUUAGGCAUUAAGCUUUUAUUUAAAUAAAAAUCCUAGGCAAUAAACCAACGCCUAGGCAUUAAGUUAUUGCCUGAAAUUUUCGGAUGAUUUUAGGCAAUAAGUGAACUGGAAUUUAUGUAUAUUCUGUGAUUUCACGGUUCUUGAUUUAAAGUAGUUUUCUAAUUAUAUUCCUAAAAUUAAUAUACAUUCAUUUGACAUAUCUUAAAAUUUUCUUAUUUUUUUUUCAUAUUCAAAACAGAAUUAACUCAUACUUUUUUGGGGACAUUACAGUCAAUGUUUGUGAAAGCUGUGAUCAACCAGAGACAUAUAAUACAUAUAUAUUGUAUUAUAUGUCUCUAGAUCAACUAUUAGCUGUGAUACGCUGUGUUAUUGACUGUUUGUCAACAAAAAUUCAUUUGCACGAACUUCAGAACCAUAUUUAUAGUUUCCUUCCCCAGUCUCAAAUGAUCUCUUCAAUACUAGCGUGUUGAAGCAACAAUACACGGACAUGUAUACUAAUCAUGCUUAUUUAGUGACACCUUAAAAAAACAAUCAUUUAAUUUCAACUGACACCAAGACUUUACAGGCACUCGUCUCAGAAUUUUCCCCCCUAUAUAUCUUAUAUUAAGAUAUAUGGGAAAAAAAUUUCUGAGACAAGUGCCUGUGCAAGACUUCUAUACUUUAGUGACGAAAAUUUAAAUAUACAGUAUUCUUAACUGUUAGUGUUAUAACCUAUUUUUUUUUUUUUCGCGUUUCAACUCAUAUGCGCCAUUAUUGGAUGUGCAUUAAACCCAAAGACGAUUAAUCUGUCAUUUCUCAUUGUGGAACAGAUGUACAUUUUCAAACAUUUCAGUACGUUAAACGGCCUUUCAGCUGUAGCGCUAGCAAUGGGCAUUGUUAGGAGAACACACAGUAUUGUUUCAAUAGACGGAUACAAUGUGAGAUUAAUGUCGAUAUCAAGUGUUUGACACUAAGUUGUCGGCACUUUAUCACUAGGUAGGAUUCGACAGAGAAUCCACAACCUCUCUCUUGAAGAUUUGAAUGUGUUGACUCCUUAUUUCGACAGGAAGGUGUGAAAACAGAACUAUAUGAAGUAGCCUUUCAAAAUAUCACUAAUUUAAAGAGGGAAUUCAGAUUACUGUUAUCCUAAUUUAUUGCUAUUUUGUGCAUUUUUAGUUUGAUCUUUUUUUGUGAUAAUUUUCAUAUCAUGCUACUUGCUUGAGAUGGAAAAGUUAUCGCCAGAAACUAAGCAGACACGUGGCGUUGCUAACGAAAUUGACAUGAAAUUGACAAGAUCGUCAUAGGUAAAAUAGCGAUAAACAGAUUAUCAUUGGUCAUCUCAACUCUUUCGCCGUCCCGGCUCAAGCGAGAAAAUAAUCUAUAAUUACAUAUAAAACUGAGAGGGGCGAGGGAACCAAAGGGACAGUCAGACUCAUAUAAAAGUUACCGUAAUUUCUUAAAUUGUUUAGGGAGAUAAAAAUGGAACAAAAGCGUUUUGGUGAAAAAAUUGUCUAAAGUUUGCCAUUAAGGCUUGUAACGCUUUGAACUGCUCAUGUUUACGUUGCUUUUAACAGUGAGUAAGUACCAGAAGAAAAAUUCACGCAAAUAAGUUAAAAAAUUUCGGCCAGGGUUGAUUUUAUAUACGGAAAUAUUGUUGUGACGUUAUUAAAAUAGUUAUACUGUAUUGUUUUCUAAUUUGCUUGGUUUAGUUAAAUUUUAUAUUUUUUACUCGUUUGUAUUUUUAUUUUAUUUUCUGGGGUAAAUUAAUUUUUUUAGACCCCACGAUGUGCAUGCCAUGGCGUGACAGCGUAUAUGGAGCUUUGCCCUAGGCACAGUGGCGGAUCCAGAGGGGGGGUUCCGGGGGUCCGCACCCCCCCUUUAUUUUGGCCGAUCAAUGCAUUUGAAUCGGGACAUAUGUUUGCACCCCCCCCUGCACCCCCCCUUUGCCCUGGGCUAGCACCCCCCCUUUCGAAAAUUCCUGCAUCCGCCACUGAGGCAUCCCAGAAAAAAAUUGAAAUAGCCUUGCCAGACGUCAUAAUAGAACAGAUGAUUGGGUGGGUCACUGCCCCAGGGUCACUAAAAAUUGCAAGACUGGACUAAAUGGUGUCAAUGAAGUUCAGGUUUGACAACUUUAUACUAAUAUAGAUUCUAAUUGGCCAUUAAAUAGUUGUGUUGAAAUCACAUCUACAGUUGGGAAUGUCCAUGAAAGAGUGUUGUAAUGGGGGUACCUUCAUGACGAAUAAUAGUAAAAGUUCUUGCCAAAUGACGUUAACAGUAAUUUUUGGUGUAUGACAAUAAAUGUACACUUUCUUUUAGACGAUAAGGAUAUUUUGACGAAUCACGGUAGCCAAAAAAUGACUGUUUGACACCUGACGGCAAAUGCAUUCCUACUCUCUUGAAAGAGUUUAAAGUCUUAUUAGGUCUUUCCACCUUUCCAUGAAAAGACCUAUUGAUUUUCUGAUUAUUAUUAUUUUUUUUUUUCUUCUGCCUAAUUUUUUUCUUGCGUAAUUUUGUUGUUUCAAAAGAUGUCGCUUAGAUAUUUGGAAUAUAAUAUCGUAUAGUUUAUACGCUUUAAAACUGACAACCGCGCAACUAAAUACUUUGCGUUGUAAGAGUUAUCUCCCCAAACACUGUUUUUCUUGUGGCCACUACUCCUUCGCAACCGUAAAAGAUUACGACAAAUUUAUUUUACCAAAUUGCUCGUUACAUCUUCAGGAUUCGGAGUAUUCAUUUGACCGAAGCUUACGGAGACUCCAUAUGAGAGUUAUUCCCCUUUUAUUUUGAUUAAGUGAUUUGCAUUUCUAAUGGUAAACCAUAAGUGAUAGAGACCUAGAGUCUUUUGAUUUGAGAUCCUUGGUCCAAAAAAAAUAAAAUUAGGUCAAGGUCAAAGGUCAAGGUCAUAUUCUAAAUUUUUAUUUUGGCUUAUUUUUAUUAAUUUUCAAAACCUUAUAACAUAUCAAAAUAAUAUUUUCAUAAUUGUUAGUUGCGACAUGCCGUUACUUAUAAAUUUUGGUUGAAAGGGUGCGUAAACAAUAAAUAGGACUUUUCGCCCAUCUUAUAUUUAGAAUUAUGAGUAAAGUGAUAUAGCUCAUUAACCAUACAUAAUAAAGACCUAGGGUCUUUUGAUUUGAGAUCCUUGGUUUAUGACCUUGAAAUUAAGGUCAAGGUCAUAGGUACUUUGCACGUUCUAGAUUUUGACCUUUGCUUUAAAUUCAUAUUUAUACCUUAUAAAGCCAUAAUAACUGAUAUUUUAGAUUGAUUUUUAAUAUUUUGAUAAUAAAAUAGAUCUUUACUUGUGGAAAGACCUUCAAUUGUUCUUUGAACAAUUGGUUUUUAAUUUUAGCUGAUUUUGUUAUUGAAUCCUCAAUCAAAAGUGACAGUUCUUUAAUACUUGUACAUGAUGGUAGGAUAUACUUUUACAUUAUGUUUCAGAACCAGCUAAAAUAAAGGCAGGAAGAGUUGGACCACCUCCAUUAAAAGAUGGCAUCUUAUAUGUUAAUGCAUAUCAAGAAGAUCAAAUGGUAACUU